CCGCACACCAGUAGACCUUGUCUGGUUCUUCUGAUAGCCACAUGAGGGGGAUGGUGCAUGCAACAACAAUCUGGAGUUUGCUGCAAGCUCUCGUCAGCCUUGAUGUGACUGAUUGAACUGCAAUACUCCAACAUCC
rnacentral:snoRNA from 1 species